AGAUUAAGUUAUUAAGGGCGCACGGUGGAUGCCUUGGCACUAGAAGCCGAUGAAGGACGUUACUAACGACGAUAUGCUUUGGGUAGCUGUAAGUAAGCGUUGAUCCAGAGAUUUCCGAAUGGGGGAACCCAGCAUGAGUUAUGUCAUGUUAUCGACAUGUGAAUUCAUAGCAUGUCAGAAGGCAGACCCGGAGAACUGAAACAUCUUAGUACCCGGAGGAAGAGAAAGAAAAAUCGAUUCCCUGAGUAGCGGCGAGCGAAACGGGAAGAGCCCAAACCAACAAGCUUGCUUGUUGGGGUUGUAGGACACUCUAUACGGAGUUACAAAAGAACAUGUUAGACGAAUCAUCUGGAAAGAUGAAUCAAAGAAGGUAAUAAUCCUGUAGUCGAAAACAUAUUCUCUCUUGAGUGGAUCCUGAGUACGACGGAGCACGUGAAAUUCCGUCGGAAUCUGGGAGGACCAUCUCCUAAGGCUAAAUACUCUCUAGUGACCGAUAGUGAACCAGUACCGUGAGGGAAAGGUGAAAAGUACCCCGGAAGGGGAGUGAAAGAGAACUUGAAACCGUGUGCUUACAAGUAGUCAGAGCCCGUUAAUGGGUGAUGGCGUGCCUUUUGUAGAAUGAACCGGCGAGUUACGAUCUGAUGCAAGGUUAAGCAGCAAAUGUGGAGCCGCAGCGAAAGCGAGUCUGAAUAGGGCGUUGAGUAUUUGGUCGUAGACCCGAAACCAGGUGAUCUACCCUUGGUCAGGUUGAAGUUCAGGUAACACUGAAUGGAGGACCGAACCGACUUACGUUGAAAAGUGAGCGGAUGAACUGAGGGUAGCGGAGAAAUUCCAAUCGAACUUGGAGAUAGCUGGUUCUCUCCGAAAUAGCUUUAGGGCUAGCCUCAAGUGAUGAUUAUUGGAGGUAGAGCACUGUUUGGACGAGGGGCCCCUCUCGGGUUACCGAAUUCAGACAAACUCCGAAUGCCAAUUAAUUUAACUUGGGAGUCAGAACAUGGGUGAUAAGGUCCGUGUUCGAAAGGGAAACAGCCCAGACCACCAGCUAAGGUCCCAAAAUAUAUGUUAAGUGGAAAAGGAUGUGGCGUUGCCCAGACAACUAGGAUGUUGGCUUAGAAGCAGCCAUCAUUUAAAGAGUGCGUAAUAGCUCACUAGUCGAGUGACACUGCGCCGAAAAUGUACCGGGGCUAAACAUAUUACCGAAGCUGUGGAUUGUCCUUUGGACAAUGGUAGGAGAGCGUUCUAAGGGCGUCGAAGCAUGAUCGCAAGGACAUGUGGAGCGCUUAGAAGUGAGAAUGCCGGUGUGAGUAGCGAAAGACGGGUGAGAAUCCCGUCCACCG
rnacentral:rRNA from 1 species